UACCCCUGCGCAAUGGCAAAGAGAAACUUUGGUGGUGGUGGUGUUCUUACAUUGGUCAGGGGCAGAGCAGAUGGCAGUUCUUUGUUCAUCUAGCUUGAUGCCUGGCUUGGUGGCCAAAGCUGUUUUAUGCCUAGGACACAUAA